GAUUUUUGAAAUCGAAACAAUUUACGUGUUAAAUACAACAAAAACUUUAUCUGUAUAGAUUUUUCAAAAAUCCAGAUAAUUAUCCAGAUUUUACUUUCUCUCGAUAGAAAACAGUGCUGCCAAGGUACAUUACAGGUAUUAAAUGUCAGAUUCCAUUGCAUGACAGCUGCAGUUGACACAUAAUAUGACAAAAAAUAUAAUAUUUAAAAUUGAAUUCAAUUAGGAAUAGCAAACAACACAAAUCAAUGAUUCACGUUUUUUGCAAGAGUGCGAUAUCUUCCGCAAAAUUAAAGAAAAAAACCUGAAACCAGAUGGAAAGAAUUAUUUCACAAAAAAAGAAUCCUGUGUAUUGUGCGCUUGUGUCUUAAUCGUGUCGAUACCUUCAACCCUCACAGCCAAAUGUAGUGUAAAAUGCUCUUGAAAUGCCCGCUCGUUUGCGAAAACGUUUAUUCUUUGACGAUAAACAUGGAUAAAUGAUAACAAAGCUCUUGUUGUUAAUCAUUUGCCUCAAUAGAAUGCCCACCACAAAAACAGUCUCAUAACUUUUUAAAAAUAUACACGUCAUGUAUGUGCGCUGCGAAGAAAAGCCGAAAAAUAUUCCCCCAGGAAAUACUUUUCAUCCCAAACAGCAGACAGCAAUAAGCAAGACAAUCCUAACAUCGCAUUAUGCAGCUCAUUCAACACCCAUAUCUUUCAGCUCCCUUAAAUUGCCCUCACUUUAUGUAAAUGAUAUCAGGACCAAGACCCGUUGAUGAAAAGCCAUCUUAGAAGAAGAUCACUUCACUGCCUGUGCAAAUGAUGGUAUCGACGUUUAUAAACUUGGACCACAUGUGCAUGUAAAGUGUGGAAACAAUGGCAUCUUGAAAGUUGAUGUGGAAGAAAUAUUUGAAAGAACGUUAUAGUAAAUGUUUCAGAGCAUCAUUUAGGUCCCCAAUUUUGGUUGCGGAUGAACUCUGCCUGCAUUGAUGUCGUCCUGUUUCUGUAGGACAUGUCUUCUACAAAAGGCUCUAAAGACCCCAUCGGGAUCCCGAGAAAAUGAUAUCUGCAUGAAUCUUCUUCGCAAUUACUUUCCCCUCCUAAA